GUCUACGGCCAUGCCACCCUGAACAAGCCCGAUGUCUGAUCUCGGAAGCUAAGCAGGGUCAGGCCUGGUUAGUACUUGGAUUGGAGACCACCUAGAAAGACCAGGUGCUGUAGGCA
rnacentral:rRNA from 1 species